GAUGAACGCUGGCGGCGUGCUUAACACAUGCAAGUCGAACGGAAAGGCCCAAGCUUGCUUGGGUACUCGAGUGGCGAACGGGUGAGUAACACGUGGGUGAUCUGCCCUGCACUUCGGGAUAAGCCUGGGAAACUGGGUCUAAUACCGGAUAGGACCACAUUUUGGAUGGUGUGGUGGAAAGUUUUUCGGUGUGGGAUGAGCUCGCGGCCUAUCAGCUUGUUGGUGGGGUAAUGGCCUACCAAGGCGUCGACGGGUAGCCGGCCUGAGAGGGUGUACGGCCACAUUGGGACUGAGAUACGGCCCAGACUCCUACGGGAGGCAGCAGUGGGGAAUAUUGCACAAUGGGCGCAAGCCUGAUGCAGCGACGCCGCGUGGGGGAUGACGGCCUUCGGGUUGUAAACUCCUUUCGCUAGGGACGAAGCGUUUUUGUGACGGUACCGGAGAAGAAGCACCGGCUAACUACGUG
rnacentral:rRNA from 1 species